rnacentral:rRNA from 1 species
ACACUCCUGCGGGAGGCAGCAGUGGGGAAUAUUGCACAAUGGGCGCAAGCCUGAUGCAGCCAUGCCGCGUGUAUGAAGAAGGCCUUCGGGUUGUAAAGUACUUUCAGCGGGGAGGAAGGCAAUACGGUUAAUAACCGUGUUGAUUGACGUUACCCGCAGAAGAAGCACCGGCUAACUCCGUGCCAGCAGCCGCGGUAAUACGGAGGGUGCAAGCGUUAAUCGGAAUUACUGGGCGUAAAGCGCACGCAGGCGGUCUGUCAAGUCGGAUGUGAAAUCCCCGGGCUCAACCUGGGAACUGCAUUCGAAACUGGCAGGCUUGAGUCUUGUAGAGGGGGGUAGAAUUCCAGGUGUAGCGGUGAAAUGCGUAGAGAUCUGGAGGAAUACCGGUGGCGAAGGCGGCCCCCUGGACAAAGACUGACGCUCAGGUGCGAAAGCGUGGGGAGCAAACAGGAUUAGAUACCCUUGUAGUCCC